rnacentral:rRNA from 1 species
AGCAGCCGCGGUAAUUCCAGCUCCAAUAGCGUAUAUUAAAGUUGCUGCAGUUAAAAAGCUCGUAGUUGGAUUUCUGGCUUCAAACAUUUAGCCGGCCACGGUUUCGUGUGUUAGUGUUAGAUGUUGUGGCCAUCCUUCCAAUUGCUAUUGGCUUAUCUUCAUUGAUUGGUCAGUAGUAUUGGAUCUUUUACUUUGAAAAAAU